UACGGAGGGGGCAAGCGUUGUUCGGAAUUACUGGGCGUAAAGGGCGCGCAGGUGGCCAAGUGUGUUAGGCGUGAAAGCCCGGGGCUUAACCCCGGAAUUGCACCUAAAACUACUUGGCUAGAGCAUUGGAGAGGGGAGCAGAAUUCAUGGUGUAGCAGUGAAAUGCGUAGAUAUCAUGAGGAAUACCAGAGGCGAAGGCGGCUCCCUGGACAAUUGCUGACACUCAGGCACGAAAGCGUGGGGAGCAAAAGGG
rnacentral:rRNA from 1 species